rnacentral:rRNA from 1 species
AGGCAGCAGUGGGGAAUAUUGCACAAUGGGGGAAACCCUGAUGCAGCCAUGCCGCGUGUGUGAAGAAGGCCUUCGGGUUGUAAAGCACUUUCAGUAGGGAGGAAGGUAGUGUAGUUAACACCUGCAUUAUUUGACGUUACCUACAGAAGAAGCACCGGCUAACUCCGUGCCAGCAGCCGCGGUAAUACGGAGGGUGCGAGCGUUAAUCGGAAUUACUGGGCGUAAAGCGCAUGCAGGCGGCCUGUUAAGUCAGAUGUGAAAGCCCGGGGCUUAACCUCGGAAUUGCAUUUGAAACUGGCAGGCUAGAGUCUUGUAGAGGGGGGUAGGAAUUUCAGGUGUAGCGGUGAAAUAGCGUAGAGAUCUGAAGGAAUACCAGUGGCGAAGGCGGCCCCCUGGACAAAGACUGACGCUCAGAUGCGAAAGCGUGGGGAGCAAACAGGAUUAGAUACCCUGGUAG